GCCAAAAAAAAAAAAACAAAAAAAAAAACCUUUCUCUUUCUUAUCCACACCUCUUCUUUAAACUGCACACUAAGUAUUCAAGAAUGAAAAUUUUAUACAGUGGUGACGUGACAUGCUAUUUCUUUUCUAAACUAUUCUAAAAUUUAAUUAUCAACUUUGGAGCUAUACCAUCUGUCUGAUUUUAUUUAUCGUUGCCAUAUCUAGACAGGACUUAAAAGAAAAGAGAAUCAUGCUGAUUUGGGUGAAAAAGGCAGUGUAAAGGCCUUUACAUAUGGCAAUAUGAAAAGAAUGAAAAGCACCAAACAGUGAGUAGGGUGAAAGGAUUGUUGUAAGUUAAAGGUCUGUGUCUUCAAGAGAAAACAAAAAAGGGGUGGUGUAGAACAGCUAACCUGCAACUUGUAACUCUGCUCCCCAAAACACACAUAGUAGUUUUGAAAGCAUUAUUUCUAUAGGAGCCACAUACUAAUUUCCAAGAAAAAAAUUCUCUUCACAGUAUGGCCCUUUAGUCUAGAAAUCUAUAAAAAGUUUCAACAGGGGUUGCAGUGUUUUCCUUAAAAAAAUAAAAUAAAAAGAAUGCAUUUCAUCCUCAAAUUAGGUUAACAUGAAACCCAAGGGAAAUGGUUCCUAUUUCAUACCUGCCAGUUCUUAUGUCUCUUGAUACUUCGGCAUACUCUUACUAAUUAACUGAACCCCAUCAGGAAAGUAUUAAUGAUGGUUCCGAAACUCCGGAGACACCCACAGCCUAAGAACUCAAUACACUUCGCGGUCUACAGAAAGACCUACUUGACACACUAAAGGCAGGCGUGAGCAGGGAGGAGGGAGGUACGUGGCACAAAAAGCUGCAGGUCGGAGCAGUUGUGCCCAGCCUUGCACACUUACAGGUUUGCUAGGGUACACGUUAGACAGAUGCGUUUUUAGUUUCCCCACGGUCCAGUUCAAGAAGCAGCUAAUAGUCUGGUCACUGUAUUUCUGGUUCGGCGCUUUGAUGAUGAGGGUCACGGGAAUCUCCAUCCCACUUUGGUCCAUGGCGCACCCCAAGCCAGAGAGUCCACCGAAGCAGCGGAUCCGCCCUAUGGAGCCGAGGUGUCCCCGCCGUCGCGGCUGUGGUGGGGACGGAAGUGAGCGCUUAAUACUCAGUGUCCAGCUCAGUCACGAGUGCAUCGGGCGACACGAAGGCCAUCGCCAGGACCAAAGGUAUUCACGGAUAACAAGACACACACAACAGGAAAACCCUUCUGGGAACAACCUCGUAGACAUCAUCUAGUCCUGCCUUCCAGAUGUCCCCAGGACCACGCCUCUGUAUCUCUCAGGGCAGAUGCAGCCCUCGCCCACUCACACAGCCUUCUUUGGUAACCUGGUGAGAAACUUCUCUGAACGGUCUCUGGUACCCACUCAUGUGGCUCCGUGGUGCAAACACGGCAGUCGUGACAGCUGGGGUGGCUGGCAGGACUGUGGUGGGACAGAGCUUUUGCACUGCUUCUGAGCAGUUAGAAGGAAAACAACAGUCUCCUAUCUCAGCUCCAGUCACAGCCAAAGGCCAGAGGCC
ensembl:lincRNA